CUUUACUGCUCUGCUUUCUGCGGAACGCCCAAAGUGCAGUAAACAUCUGUGGCUGCAAUGAGCUGAGCAUCAGCACAGGACUUUAUCAAGAGCCAGAACUAACUCCUGCAUAAUACAAAUUAAGAGGCCAGUCAUUGCCCUGGGCCAUAUACAAAGUAGUUUGUCAGAAGAGUUUACGUCAGCAUUUUGAAGGAGGAUAAUGAGAUUGCUUGAAGUCACCAGAGCUGCUCCCAGGAGAUGAAGGCUAGAAAAAAGAACAAAACUGAAAAUCAAUCAAGGCUACAUUUUCACAUCAGAUGUAAAGGACAUGAGAAAAGAAUCACAACAGAAUACGUGGAACUUCUAGAGGAGAAAGAGCCAGAUGAAGAAAGUCCUUCACAGAAGUUGAGGCAGGAAACAAUUUUCUCAGCACACCUGUUGAGGGGAGAAACAAGGCUCCUUCAACCAUCAAUCUGUGGCACCUCAGAGCUCAGCCUGAAAGCAAAGGCGAAACGAAAUACGAAAAUUGCAGUGCAGCAGAAGAGGAGUCAGCUAUCUGCGGGCCUCUGCUGAAAUCCCAUCUUUCGGGUGAUGAGAGAAUUCUCACCUUCUGAAAAUCCUGCUUGUGCUGCUGCUUGCUAUCACCGGUUUCCCCAGCCAGUGCUGUAACUUCCCAAUUUGCUGUGGAAGGAUUGUUCUUGCAGCCCACCUGCACAAUUAAAAGACCUG